rnacentral:lncRNA from 1 species
AGGUGGAUCUGGAGGUCGGAGCAGUUUCAGAGUCGGGGCUCAGGGGGACGAAAGCGAUGAGGGACAUGAAGAAGUACCAGGUGGCGGUCAAGCUGAAGAACUUCAUGGCUGUGCCUCUGGGGGAGUGGAACAAGAGCUCAGAGGUGCGCUUGAAGAAAACUGUCCCACUUCAUGCAACUCAGAGAGUACAAGCCUGACAUGAUUGAGUAUGCAUCGAUCUUCUUUCAUCGUGCAUGGUCAGCAGGAGGAGCCCUGACACAGAACGUCAGGACGCCAUGCUUAGUAACAGACAGAUUAGGAUUAAACAGCACCUCGCUCCUGUUGACAUGAUUCAACAAGGGCCCAGUCGUUCAAGUCAACAAAAGAUAGUGUCAUUGCUCUCAGACUUGACUUAGCAGCAACUCUGUGCAUGCUUUUCUGGCAUUCCAGCAUGCCGCAGAAUUCCGUGCAUACGAAGGCAACACGACACAGGGAAACACUGCUUAAGUUGGUGCUAUCUGAAUGACAUGAUUCUCAUGCAGGAGAACGCGCUGGUACUGCUGCAAAAGCGGUUCAGGAACCCGGAUUGGGACACAGUCAUGGGGACGUAC